rnacentral:rRNA from 1 species
AGUGAACGCUGGCGGUAGGCCUAACACAUGCAAGUCGAACGGCAGCACAGUAAGAGCUUGCUCUUACGGGUGGCGAGUGGCGGACGGGUGAGGAAUACAUCGGAAUCUACUUUUUCGUGGGGGAUAACGUAGGGAAACUUACGCUAAUACCGCAUACGACCUACGGGUGAAAGCAGGGGAUCUUCGGACCUUGCGCGAUUGAAUGAGCCGAUGUCGGAUUGGCUAGUUGGCGGGGUAAAGGCCCACCAAGGCGACGAUCCGUAGCUGGUCUGAGAGGAUGGCAGCCAACAUGGGACUUGGACAACGGUCAAGACCCUUACGGGAGGAACCAGUGGGGAAUUUUGAACAUGGGCCGCAAGCUGGACCCAGCAAUACCGGGGGGGGAAAGAAAGCCUCCGGGUGGUAAGGCCUUUUUUUUGGGAAAGAAAAGAAGAAGGUUAAACCCCUGCUGUUCUGACGGUACCCAAAGAAUAAGCACCGGCUAACUUCGUG